CCUACGGGUGGCUGCAGUAGGGAAUCUUCCGCAAUGGACGAAAGUCUGACGGAGCAACGCCGCGUGAGUGAUGAAGGUUUUCGGAUCGUAAAACUCUGUUGUUAGGGAAGAACAAGUACCGUUCGAAUAGGGCGGCACCUUGACGGUACCUAACCAGAAAGCCACGGCUAACUACGUGCCAGCAGCCGCGGUAAUACGUAGGUGGCAAGCGUUGUCCGGAAUUAUUGGGCGUAAAGCGCGCGCAGGCGGUUUCUUAAGUCUGAUGUGAAAGCCCCCGGCUCAACCGGGGAGGGUCAUUGGAAACUGGGGAACUUGAGUGCAGAAGAGGAGAGUGGAAUUCCACGUGUAGCGGUGAAAUGCGUAGAGAUGUGGAGGAACACCAGUGGCGAAGGCGACUCUCUGGUCUGUAACUGACGCUGAGGCGCGAAAGCGUGGGGAGCGAACAGGAUUAGAUACCCUGGUAGUC
rnacentral:rRNA from 1 species